UCAUUUUCAUCCUUGCAUUUCUCAGUCUUGGACGGGCAUAACAAUCGGGGCUAGGAUUCAGUGGCUUACAUCAAGAUCAAAAAAAGCGAAAGAAGAGAGAAGAAAUAAAAGACCGGCUGCAAGGUAUUGGAAGAUCAAACAAGAGAGCAGAGAGAAAGAGAAAAGGAGAAGAUCUAUUGGGUCAAAAAAAGUGAAAGAAGGGAGAAGAAAGAAAAAACCAGUUGCAAGAAAAAGGAAAGGAGGAGAUCUAUCGGGUUUGCAAAGACGAAUAGAAGAGAGGAAAUGAGAAGAUCUAUUGGGUCUAGAAUAAAAAAAAGCGAAAGAAGAGAGAGGAAAGAAAAAACCGGUUGCAAGAGGAAGGUUGAAAAAGGGAGACAAAGAGUAAAGAGUAGAGGAAAGGAGAUAGGUGUUAUCAUUUAUCUAUCCAGAAAAGGUCUACUGUAGGAAGACUGAGUCAACGAUUAUAAAUUCUACAGACAUAAAAUCGACAUCACUGUUGACUGCAGGCAAAAUUUUUCAGUGGUUCAUUUUUCUGUUUAUGGGGCUCUGAUGGUUGAUGCAUGAACUUCCCGAGCUAAGGAGGUUGUUGACAAGAAACUACUGAAGGUACUAUCGUAGAACUUCAAAAUGGCAAUGAUGCACCUCAGAAGAGAUCCAAGAUUUUCGUCAAUUUUUGGGGGAAACUUUAGCAUUGUUUCACAAGAACUGGCUCCUCAAAUUUUGAUUGAAAACUGUUUUAUUCACUUAUCUAAAAUUCUGCUCUUCAGUGAUUUUUUUUGUUUCUAAA